rnacentral:lncRNA from 1 species
ACAAUAGAAGUAGUCUUUGUAAAUUAGCAAAGCUUUGAUGAGCAAUUCUUUAUUCUUGAGUUCCACAAUAGUACUCUAUGCAAUUUAAGCAAAGCUUUGACGAGCAGUGUUUCAUUCUUGAUUUCCACAUUUGAGGUCUACGCAAUUUAGGAAAGCUGUGAUGAGCAUCGAUUCAUUCUUGAGUUCCACAAUAGAAGUCUAUCCAAUUUAAGCAAAGAAUUGAUGAGCAUUGUUUUGUUCUUGAGUUCCACAGUAGAAGUCUAUGCAAUUUAGCAAAGCUUUCUUAAGAAUUGUGUCAUUCUUGGGUUCCACAUUAGAAGUCUAUGCAAUUUAGCAAAGCAUUGACGAGCAUUGAUUAGUUCUUGAGUUCCAUAAUAGAACUCUAUUCAAUUUUGCAAAGCUUUCAUGAGCAAUGUUUAAUUCUUGGGUUCCACAUUAGAUGUCAAUGCAAUUUAGCAAAGCAUUGAUGACCAAUGUUUAGUUCUUGAGUUCCACAAUAGAAGUAGUCUUUGCAAUUUAGCAAAGCUUUGAUGAGCAUUGUUUAAUUGUUGAGUUUCACAAAAGAAUUGAAUGCAAUUUAAAAAAAGCUUAGACGAGGAUUGUUUUAUUCUUGAGUUAAACAUUAUAAGUCUAUGAAAUUUAGCAAAGAUUUGAUGAGAAUUGUUUAAUUCUUGAGUUCCACAAUAGAAGUCUAAGCACUUUAAGCAAAGCUUUGAUGAGCAUUGUUUCAUUAUUGAGUUCCACAUUAUAAGUCUAUGCAAUUUAGCAAAGCUUUGAUGAACAUUGUUUAAUUCCUGAGUUCCACAAUAGAAGUAGGGUUUGUAAAUUAGCAAAGCUUUGAUGAGCAAUUCUUUAUUCUUGAGUUCCACAAUAGUAGUCUAUGAAAUUUAAGCAAAGCUUUGACGAGCAGUGUUUCAUUCUUGAUUUCCACAUUUGAGGUCUACGCAAUUUAGCAAAGCUUUGAUGAGCAUCGUUUCAUUCUUGAGUUCCACAAUAGAAGUCUAUGCAAUUUAAGCAAAGAAUUGAUGAUCAUUGUUUUGUUCUUGUGUUCCACAGUAGAAGUCUAUGCAAUUUAGCAAAGCUUUCUUAAGCAUUGUUUCAUUCUUGGGUUCCUCAUUAGAAGUCUAUGCAAUUUAGCAAAGCAUUGAUGAGCAUUGAUUAGUUCUUGAGUUCCACAAUAGAA